AUUUUUAUAGAGAGCUCUAGAAGGAAAAAUGGGAUGCUUACUGAAGUUUUCAGGUGACUUGGAUGACCAGACCUGUAGAGAAGAUUUACACUUCCUUUUCUCAAAUCAUGGUGAAAUAAAAUGGAUUGACUUUGUCAGAGGAGCAAAAGAGGGAAUAAUUCUCUUCAAAGAAAAGGCUAAGGACGCACUUGAGAAAGCCAGAAGUGCAAAUAAUGGUAACCUACUGUUAAGGAACAAAAAAGUGACUUGGAAAGUACUAGAAGGACAUGCAGAAAAAGAUGCAAUGAAAAAAAUCACAGAUGAUCAACAAGAAUCUCUGAACAAAUGGAAGUCAAAAGGAGGUCAUGGUAAUUCUCUUUUUUUUUCAUGAAUUAACUUUACCUCAUUUUCGUUUUCAGCACACGUAACAUCUUGAUUAAAGUUCUAAGUCAUCUUUUUACAGCAGCCCGCAGAUUUAAAGGAAGUCAUGUUUUUACAGCAGCUCGCAGAUUUAAAGGAAGAGGGAAAGGUAAUAGACCUGCUUAUGCUGGGGCACCCAAAGGAAGAGGACAGUUUCAAGGAAGGAGGACAAGAUUUGAUGAUGAUGAUCAUCGUCGUGGUAAGUCUUUUCUGAUUCCUUUGGGAGAGAAAUCUAUAUUUAGUAAGAUGGUGUUCUUUGUGUAACUGAUACUCUUGAAUUAGUACCAUCUCCCUUGUUUGUGUUGUUCCACAAGUCAGAGGCUGAUUA
rnacentral:lncRNA from 1 species